UACGUAGGGGGCUAGCGUUGUCCGGAAUCAUUGGGCGUAAAGCGCGUGUAGGCGGUCCGGUAAGUCCGCUGUGAAAGUCGGGGGCUCAACCUUCGAAUGCCGGUGGAUACUGUCGGGCUAGAGUGCGGAAGAGGCGAGUGGAAUUCCUGGUGUAGCGGUGAAAUGCGCAGAUAUCAGGAGGAACACCUAUUGCGAAGGCAGCUCGCUGGGACGGAACUGACGCUGAGACGCGAAAGCGUGGGGAGCAAACAGG
rnacentral:rRNA from 1 species